GGUUAAGCGACUAAGCGUACACGGUGGAUGCCCUGGCAGUCAGAGGCGAUGAAGGACGUGCUAAUCUGCGAUAAGCGUCGGUGAGGUGAUAUGAACCGUUAUAACCGGCGAUUUCCGAAUGGGGAAACCCAGUGUGUUUCGACACACUAUCAUUAACUGAAUCCAUAGGUUAAUGAGGCGAACCGGGGGAACUGAAACAUCUAAGUACCCCGAGGAAAAGAAAUCAACCGAGAUUCCCCCAGUAGCGGCGAGCGAACGGGGAGGAGCCCAGAGCCUGAAUCAGUGUGUGUGUUAGUGGAAGCGUCUGGAAAGGCGCGCGAUACAGGGUGACAGCCCCGUACACAAAAAUGCACAUAUUGUGAGCUCGAUGAGUAGGGCGGGACACGUGGUAUCCUGUCUGAAUAUGGGGGGACCAUCCUCCAAGGCUAAAUACUCCUGACUGACCGAUAGUGAACCAGUACCGUGAGGGAAAGGCGAAAAGAACCCCGGCGAGGGGAGUGAAAAAGAACCUGAAACCGUGUACGUACAAGCAGUGGGAGCCUCUUAAUGGGGUGACUGCGUACCUUUUGUAUAAUGGGUCAGCGACUUAUAUUCUGUAGCAAGGUUAACCGAAUAGGGGAGCCGAAGGGAAACCGAGUCUUAACUGGGCGUUAAGUUGCAGGGUAUAGACCCGAAACCCGGUGAUCUAGCCAUGGGCAGGUUGAAGGUUGGGUAACACUAACUGGAGGACCGAACCGACUAAUGUUGAAAAAUUAGCGGAUGACUUGUGGCUGGGGGUGAAAGGCCAAUCAAACCGGGAGAUAGCUGGUUCUCCCCGAAAGCUAUUUAGGUAGCGCCUCGUGAAUUCAUCUCCGGGGGUAGAGCACUGUUUCGGCAAGGGGGUCAUCCCGACUUACCAACCCGAUGCAAACUGCGAAUACCGGAGAAUGUUAUCACGGGAGACACACGGCGGGUGCUAACGUCCGUCGUGAAGAGGGAAACAACCCAGACCGCCAGCUAAGGUCCCAAAGUCAUGGUUAAGUGGGAAACGAUGUGGGAAGGCCCAGACAGCCAGGAUGUUGGCUUAGAAGCAGCCAUCAUUUAAAGAAAGCGUAAUAGCUCACUGGUCGAGUCGGCCUGCGCGGAAGAUGUAACGGGGCUAAACCAUGCACCGAAGCUGCGGCAGCGACACUAUGUGUUGUUGGGUAGGGGAGCGUUCUGUAAGCCUGUGAAGGUGGCCUGUGAGGGGUGCUGGAGGUAUCAGAAGUGCGAAUGCUGACAUAAGUAACGAUAAAGCGGGUGAAAAGCCCGCUCGCCGGAAGACCAAGGGUUCCUGUCCAACGUUAAUCGGGGCAGGGUGAGUCGACCCCUAAGGCGAGGCCGAAAGGCGUAGUCGAUGGGAAACAGGUUAAUAUUCCUGUACUUGGUGUUACUGCGAAGGGGGGACGGAGAAGGCUAUGUUGGCCGGGCGACGGUUGUCCCGGUUUAAGCGUGUAGGCUGGUUUUCCAGGCAAAUCCGGAAAACCAAGGCUGAGGCGUGAUGACGAGGCACUACGGUGCUGAAGUGACAAAUGCCCUGCUUCCAGGAAAAGCCUCUAAGCAUCAGGUAACAUCAAAUCGUACCCCAAACCGACACAGGUGGUCAGGUAGAGAAUACCAAGGCGCUUGAGAGAACUCGGGUGAAGGAACUAGGCAAAAUGGUGCCGUAACUUCGGGAGAAGGCACGCUGAUAUGUAGGUGAAGCGACUUGCUCGUGGAGCUGAAAUCAGUCGAAGAUACCAGCUGGCUGCAACUGUUUAUUAAAAACACAGCACUGUGCAAACACGAAAGUGGACGUAUACGGUGUGACGCCUGCCCGGUGCCGGAAGGUUAAUUGAUGGGGUUAGCGGUAACGCGAAGCUCUUGAUCGAAGCCCCGGUAAACGGCGGCCGUAACUAUAACGGUCCUAAGGUAGCGAAAUUCCUUGUCGGGUAAGUUCCGACCUGCACGAAUGGCGUAAUGAUGGCCAGGCUGUCUCCACCCGAGACUCAGUGAAAUUGAACUCGCUGUGAAGAUGCAGUGUACCCGCGGCAAGACGGAAAGACCCCGUGAACCUUUACUAUAGCUUGACACUGAACAUUGAGCCUUGAUGUGUAGGAUAGGUGGGAGGCUUUGAAGUGUGGACGCCAGUCUGCAUGGAGCCGACCUUGAAAUACCACCCUUUAAUGUUUGAUGUUCUAACGUUGGCCCGUAAUCCGGGUUGCGGACAGUGUCUGGUGGGUAGUUUGACUGGGGCGGUCUCCUCCUAAAGAGUAACGGAGGAGCACGAAGGUUGGCUAAUCCUGGUCGGACAUCAGGAGGUUAGUGCAAUGGCAUAAGCCAGCUUGACUGCGAGCGUGACGGCGCGAGCAGGUGCGAAAGCAGGUCAUAGUGAUCCGGUGGUUCUGAAUGGAAGGGCCAUCGCUCAACGGAUAAAAGGUACUCCGGGGAUAACAGGCUGAUACCGCCCAAGAGUUCAUAUCGACGGCGGUGUUUGGCACCUCGAUGUCGGCUCAUCACAUCCUGGGGCUGAAGUAGGUCCCAAGGGUAUGGCUGUUCGCCAUUUAAAGUGGUACGCGAGCUGGGUUUAGAACGUCGUGAGACAGUUCGGUCCCUAUCUGCCGUGGGCGCUGGAGAACUGAGGGGGGCUGCUCCUAGUACGAGAGGACCGGAGUGGACGCAUCACUGGUGUUCGGGUUGUCAUGCCAAUGGCACUGCCCGGUAGCUAAAUGCGGAAGAGAUAAGUGCUGAAAGCAUCUAAGCACGAAACUUGCCCCGAGAUGAGUUCUCCCUGAGACUUAGAGUCUCCUGAAGGAACGUUGAAGACGACGACGUUGAUAGGCCGGGUGUGUAAGCGCAGCGAUGCGUUGAGCUAACCGGUACUAAUGAACCGUGAGGCUUAACCUU
rnacentral:rRNA from 1 species